UGAACCCCGUCAGGCCGGGGGCCGCGU
rnacentral:sRNA from 1 species